UGGGGAAUUUUGGACAAUGGGCGCAAGCCUGAUCCAGCCAUGCCGCGUGCAGGAUGAAGGCCUUCGGGUUGUAAACUGCUUUUGUACGGAACGAAAAGGUGCCUUCUAAUAAAGGGCGCUCAUGACGGUACCGUAAGAAUAAGCACCGGCUAACUACGUGCCAGCAGCCGCGGUAAUACGUAGGGUGCGAGCGUUAAUCGGAAUUACUGGGCGUAAAGCGUGCGCAGGCGGUUUUGUAAGACAGAGGUGAAAUCCCCGGGCUCAACCUGGGAACUGCCUUUGUGACUGCAAGGCUGGAGUGCGGCAGAGGGGGAUGGAAUUCCGCGUGUAGCAGUGAAAUGCGUAGAGAUGUGGAGGAACACCGAUGGCGAAGGCAGCCCCCUGGGCCUGUACUGACGCUCAUGCACGAAAGCGUGGGGAGCAAACA
rnacentral:rRNA from 1 species